rnacentral:tRNA from 1 species
GAGAAUGUAGCUUAACGGUAAAGCGCUGGGACGUGACUCCAGCUAUCCAAGUUCGAUUCUUGGUAUUCUCAUUG